rnacentral:rRNA from 1 species
AUCAAACGCUGGCGGCGUGCCUAACACAUGCAGUCGAACGAUAAGCGGGGGCAACUCCGCGAGUACCAGUGGCGAACGGGUGAGUAACGACGUGACUAACCUGCCUUCGAGCGUGGGGAUAACCCCGGGAAACCGGGGCUAACACCGCAUAACAUCCCAGGGUGAACUCCUUGUGAUCAAAUGCCGCAAGCAGCUUGAAGAGGGGGUCGCGCCUGAUUAGCUAGUUGGUGAGGUAACGGCUCACCAAGGCGAUGAUCAGUAGCCUGGCCUGAGAGGGCGCACGGCCACACUGGAACUGAAACACGGUCCAGACUCCUACGGGUAGGCAGCAGUGGGAAUUUUGCGCAAUGGGGGAAACCUGACGCAGCAACGCCGCGUGGAGGAUGAAGUCCCUUGGGACGUAAACUCCUUUCGACCGGGACGAAUAUUGACGGUACUGGUGGAAGAAGCCCCGGCUAACUUCGUGCCAGCAGCCGCGGUAAUACGAGGGGGGCGAGCGUUGUUCGGAAUUAUUGGGCGUAAAGGGCGCGUAGGCGGUGCGGUAAGUCACCUGUGAAACCCCCGGGCUCAACUCGGGGCCUGCAGGCGAAACUGCCGUGUCUGGAGUGCGGAAGAGGUGAGUGGAAUUCCCGGUGUAGCGGUGAAAUGCGUAGAUAUCGGGAGGAACACCUGUGGCGAAAGCGGCUCACUGGACCGCAACUGACGCUGAGGCGCGAAAGCUAGGGGAGCAAACAGGAUUAGAUACCCUGGUAGUCCGAGCCCUAAACCAUGGAUGCUUGGUGUGGUGGGUACCCAAUCCCACGGCGUGCCGGCAGCUAACGCGUUAAGCAUCCCGCCUGGGGAGUACGGUCGCAAGGCUGAAACUCAAGGAAUUGAGGGGGCCCGCACAAGCGGUGGAGCAUGUAGGUUCAAUUCGACGCAACGCGAAGACCCUUACCUGGGCUCGAAGCGUGGUGGACCGGGGUGGAACAUCCCUUGCCGCAAGGACCGCCACGGAGGUGCUGCAUGGCUGUCGUCAGCUCGUAGUCGUGAGAUGUUGGGUUAAGUCCCGCAACUAGCGCAACCCUUAUCCCUAGUUGCCAUCGGGUCAAGCCGGGCACUCUAGUGAAACCGCCCCGGAUAACGGGAGGAAGGUGGGAUGACGUCAGUCCUCAUGGCCUUUAUGUCCAGGGCUACACACGUGCUACAAUGACCGGUACAACCGUCGCAAACCCGCGAGGGGGAGCUAAUCGGAAAAAGCCGGCCCCAGUUCGGAUUGCAGUCUGCAACUCGACUGCAUGAAGCUGGAAUCGCUAGUAAUCGCAGAUCAGCACGCUGCGGUGAAUACGUUCCCGGGCCUUGUACACACCGCCCGUCACAUCACGAAAGUGGGCUGUACUAGAAGUCGGUGCGCUAACCGCAAGGAGGCAGCCGCCAAGGUGUAAUUCAUGAUUGGGGUG